UCCCAGGUGUCUCAGUGGUAAAGAAUCUGCCUGCUAAUGCAGGAGAUGCAGGUUCUAUUCCUGGAUUGGGAA
rnacentral:tRNA from 1 species